ensembl:lncRNA
GUUUUCCCAGGGCCCCGGACCGGAAAUAGCUUGUCUCUAAAGAGUCAGAUGCUUUGGCGCGACCACUUUUCUUCUUUGUGGGCCGGCGUUUGCGUGUUUUUCUUUUUACACAACCGGGAAUAUCGGAGUAACAUUGUCUUUCUCUGUUUCCCUAGAUUUGCCAGAAAAUCUGCAAAGUCGUAUAGCCACAGCACGCGCAAAAGAAGAAAUCUUGAACUGAAGUGAUCGGGGAACCAAGGAUCCUCCUUCCCGCGGACCAGGACAGGCCAGAACUUGAAAGUUUCCAAGGAAGAGGAUGCUUGAGCUGAGUUAUUUAAAGAAGAAUAAAGUUUCCAAUUGAAGAGGUUGAAGAAAAUUCCAUGUAAAGGAAAUAGAAUGUUUAAAAGCAGGAAGACAUAAGAAAAUAUUUCCAGGCUCAGGAGUCUGGGGAGUGUGUGGCAGAGUAAUAGGAGAUGAGCCUGGGUGAGCAGGGGCCUGAUGGUGAAGGGCCUUGUAUUUCAUUCUAAGAAGCUAAUGCUUGAUCAUGUAGCCAGUGAAGGGUUUUGAUCAGGAGAGUAGCAUGAUUAGAUUUGUAUGUCCAUUAAACCACUCUGGCUUAAGUGGGAAGGUUGGACUGGAAGGAGUUCAAAUUGGAGUCAUGAAGUUAAUGUAAUAGUUCAGUCAUAAAAUAAAGACCUGAACCUAGCAGUAUCAGUGGCAAUAAAUCAAUUACAGAGAUGUUAUGGAGAAAGAAUUGACAGGACUUAGUGACUAAUUGGAUGUUUUUGCCUUAUUGUCUUGUUGACAGAUCAGUAAUGGCCUCUUUUAUUAAUGCCUAUAUCAUCAGCAGUAAAUAUUUAUUCAGCAUCUAUUCUGUGUUAGAGAGCAACAUUCUACACUAAAGAAACCCUACACUCCACCCAUGAUUUCUAUCAGUAUAGUGCCACUGAAUCUUUCUAUCCAGGUAAGGCAUUGUCCAGUAAUGCUCUAAUUUUUUAAAAAUGUAGGAACCUAUGCAAUAUAUAUUUAGUGAGAGAUUGUCAGAUAUAAUGUGACAAAAUAAAAUCUUAAAUUUUUAUACUUUCAGAAACAUACAUAUUAUUAUCUUACUGGAUUUUAAUAACAGAUUUGGGAGGUACUCCUCCUUCCUAGUAGAUAAAGAAGACAAGGGCCACGUGGGGAUAGAGUCAGAACUAGAAUCAUGGUAUUCUGGCACCAGUCCAGUGUUCUUUACACUAAAGAU